rnacentral:rRNA from 1 species
ACGUUGAAACACUGAUUCUCGUACGAUCACCGAAGUUAAGCAACGUCGAGCCUGGUCGGUAUCUAGAUGGGUGAACGCUUUGGAAUACCAGAUGCU